AUUGAACGCUGGCGGCAGGCUUAACACAUGCAAGUCGAACGAGUGGCGGACGGGUGAGUAAUGCUUGGGAAUCUCGCUUAUGUAGGGGGAUCACUACGGGAAACUGUAGAUAAUACCUCGUACCCUAAGAUGAGCCCCAGUGGGAUUAGGUAGUGGGUGGGGUAAAGGAUCACCAAGCCGACGAUCUCUAGCUGGUCUGAGAGGAUGACCAGACACACUGGGACUGAGACACGGCCCAGACUCCUACGGGAGGCAGCAGUGGGGAAGAUUGCGCAAUGGGGGCAACCUGACGCAGCCAUGCCGCGUGAAUGAAGAAGGCCUUCGGGUUGUAAAGUUCUUUCGGUAGCGAGGCGUUAACUACAGAAGAAGCACCGGCUAACUCCGUGCCAGCAGCCGCGGUAAUAC
rnacentral:rRNA from 1 species